rnacentral:rRNA from 1 species
GAUGAACGCUGGCGGCGUGCCUAAUACAUGCAAGUCGAGCGAACAGACGAGGAGCUUGCUCCUCUGACGUUAGCGGCGGACGGGUGAGUAACACGUGGAUAACCUACCUAUAAGACUGGGAUAACUUCGGGAAACCGGAGCUAAUACCGGAUAAUAUAUUGAACCGCAUGGUUCAAUAGUGAAAGACGGUUUUGCUGUCACUUAUAGAUGGAUCCGCGCCGCAUUAGCUAGUUGGUAAGGUAACGGCUUACCAAGGCAACGAUGCGUAGCCGACCUGAGAGGGUGAUCGGCCACACUAGAACUGAGACACGGUCCAAACUCCUACGGGAGGCAGCAGUAGGGAAUCUUCCGCAAUGGGCGAAAGCUUGACGGAGCAACGCCGCGUGAGUGAUGAAGGUCUUCGGAUCGUAAAACUCUGUUAUUAGGGAAGAACAAAUGUGUAAGUAACUAUGCACGUCUUGACGGUACCUAAUCAGAAAGCCACGGCUAACUACGUG